rnacentral:rRNA from 1 species
UAGGGAAGAACAAGUACCGUUCGAAUAGGGCGGNACCUUGACGGUACCUAACCAGAAAGCCACGGCUAACUACGUGCCAGCAGCCGCGGUAAUACGUAGGUGGCAAGCGUUGUCCGGAAUUAUUGGGCGUAAAGGGCUCGCAGGCGGUUUCUUAAGUCUGAUGUGAAAGCCCCCGGCUCAACCGGGGAGGGUCAUUGGAAACUGGGGAACUUGAGUGCAGAAGAGGAGAGUGGAAUUCCACGUGUAGCGGUGAAAUGCGUAGAGAUGUGGAGGAACACCAGUGGCGAAGGCGACUCUCUGGUCUGUAACUGACGCUGAGGAGCGAAAGCGUGGGGAGCGAACAGGAUUAGAUACCCUGGUAGUCCACGCCGUAAACGAUGAGUGCUAAGUGUUAGGGGGUUUCCGCCCCUUAGUGCUGCAGCUAACGCAUUAAGCACUCCGCCUGGGGAGUACGG